UACGUAGGGGGCUAGCGUUGUCCGGAAUCAUUGGGCGUAAAGAGCGCGUAGGCGGCCAGAUAAGUUCGGUGUGAAAGUCACAGGCUCAACCUGUGAAUGCCGCUGGAAACUGUCUGGCUAGAGUCCGGGAGGGGCGAGUGGAAUUCCUGGUGUAGCGGUGAAAUGCGCAGAUAUCGGAAGGAACACCAGUGGCGAAAGCGGCUUCCUGGUCCAGCACCGACGUUCAGGCACGAAAGCGUGGGGAGCAAACAGG
rnacentral:rRNA from 1 species